GCAGGGUUUACAAGUUAGCAAACAUGU
rnacentral:piRNA from 1 species